UGGAAGAAAGAGCAAUAGGAUUGGAAAAAAUGUUGUGUUUCAUUUAUAUUUUACAGUAAAAUUAGCAGAGAGGAUCUGUGCUGCUGAUGCUUUGGAGCACAGGUUGGUGGUGUCCUGAUCACAUGAACUUUUUCCAGCAGAAACAACACAGGCAAUCCCCAUCUCUGUGUUUCUCUCAACCAAUUUCUCUCUGAAGCCUGUUGACAUUCCAUCGUUCCUUUGUUGUUUUAAUGCCAACCUUUCAGCUCCUCUCAAAAGAGGGAGACAGGAAGGGUGGGUUUUUUUUUUGGAGGGGGGGGUGGAUGGAGGGAGAAAGGGAGAGGAUCAGAGCACUUACAAUAAACACUGUAGGUCAUAUGGACAUUUCAACGCAGGGAAAAUUGAAAUGCAAACCAUUUUGACUGAUUCUUUUUUUUUCUAUGGUUUUCGGUCUAAGUCACAGAACGCCCUGCAUCCCCAGGAUGUGUUUGAGCUGGUAACUAUGCAACAAGACUGGGAGUCAGUGGAAGAGGGGGAUGGGAAGAUCUGGGGACAGUUAGUGAGAGGAAGGAAGACAGAAAUGGGGAACGAGGGGGUCUUGGGCGUGCAAACCAGAAAAGACUAGAACGGUGAGAUGAUUCAAUCCAAAGGAGAUCCUGGAGGACAUUAAAACACUCAUUAAAUGCCAAUGUUUGGCAGAUUUGGAGUCAAUCUCCCUGCUUUCUUUGGCCCUGACAGUUAAAGGAGCAGCUAGUGAAUACUAAACAUAAAGGUGUUUGCAUCCACAUGACCAAACGUGACGGUGAACCCGCAAAUCAACCCGAUUUACCUUUGCUUCGCGGCUAAACGGGGAAUGGGUUGACGUGGGAGCUGUCCAGCGUCUCGGUGCUGAAUGACGCCCUACUUUUUUAUUUUUUCCUCCCCAUGUCUUCCUCGGCAUGUCGUGUCGAAUCCGGGCCGGGGAGGGGAAAAAAACACAUGCCACCUGUUGCUGCAACAAAGUUUUCUCCCAAAAUGGUAAAAAGCCAAACAGAACCCUAAUAUCUGGCUAGAAAUGCUCCGUGAUCCCGGCUUUGUCAGAGUAGUAACGUCAGCCAGCGCUUUUCGCCUCUGAAAUCACAGCUACAUGACGACACGAUAAACACUUUCCUUCAGGCGAGGCAGGAAGAGGCUGUUCUCUCAUUUCCCUUUUCACAUCGUCCAUUUUUUUUAAAAAUCACUAAAAGCUAUUUAAGGAGGAAGAAAACAAGAUGGAGAGAAAAAAAAGAGCAUCAGGUGUUUGAAAUGGUCAGAGCUUUACUCACCGUUAAUGGACGGGAACAACAGAAAUCUGCCACGAUCCGAGGAUGUGUGCCCUCCCACCCAAGCUCCACGCAUGCUUAUCGUGAUGUGACCGUGGAAGCUGAGGGACUAUGGAUCAGUGUGUUUAUAUACGUCUGCUGCCCAGAGAAGAUGAGCAGGAGGAGUUGAUGGCUGCAGACGACGGUCCUCGGACUGCGGGUCCUGGACUUUCUCAAUCCCCGCUCCCAGCAGCUCGUUCUUCAACAGAGCCAAGUAAGCCAAGCCGUCC